UUGAACGCUGGCGGCACGCCUAACACAUGCAAGUCGAACGAAGUAGCAAUACUUAGUGGCAGACGGGUGAGUAACAUGUAGGUAUCUGCCCUUUGGCCUGGAAUAACACGAGGAAACUUGUGCUAAUACCGGAUAAGUCUUUACGGAGAAAGCUUUAUGCACCAUUGGAUGAGCCUGCACUUGAUUAGUUUGUUGGUGGGGUAAUGGCCUACCAAGACUGUGAUCAAUAGCUGAUUUGAGAGGAUGAUCAGCCACAUUGGGACUGAGACACGGCCCAAACUCCUACGGGAGGCAGCAGUGGGGAAUCUUGCACAAUGGAGGAAACUCUGAUGCAGCGAUGCCGCGUGAGUGAAGAAGGCCCUUGGGUUGUAAAGCUCUUUCGUCGGGGAAGAAAAUGACUGUACCCGAAUAAGAAGGUCCGGCUAACUUCGUGCCAGCAGCCGCGGUAAUACGAAGGGACCUAGCGUAGUUCGGAAUUACUGGGCUUAAAGAGUUCGUAGGUGGUUGAAAAAGUUAGUGGUGAAAUCCCAGAGCUUAACUCUGGAACUGCCAUUAAAACUUUUCAGCUAGAGUAUGAUAGAGGAAAGCAGAAUUUCUAGUGUAGAGGUGAAAUUCGUAGAUAUUAGAAAGAAUACCAAUUGCGAAGGCAGCUUUCUGGAUCAUUACUGACACUGAGGAACGAAAGCAUGGGUAGCGAAGAGGAUUAGAUACCCUCGUAGUCCAUGCCGUAAACGAUGUGUGUUAGACGUUGGAAAUUUAUUUUCAGUGUCGCAGCGAAAGCGAUAAACACACCGCCUGGGGAGUACGACCGCAAGGUUAAAACUCAAAUGAAUUGACGGGGACCCGCACAAGUAGUGGAGCAUGUGGUUUAAUUCGAAGAUACGCGCAGAACCUUACCAACACUUGACAUGUUCGUCGCGACUCUAAGAGAUUAGAGUUUUCGGUUCGGCCGGACGAAACACAGGUGCUGCAUGGCUGUCGUCAGCUCGUGUCGUGAGAUGUUGGGUUAAGUCCCGCAACGAGCGCAACCCUCACUUUUAGUUGCCAUCAUUAAGUUGGGCACUCUGAAAGAACUGCCAGUGAUAAGCUGGAGGAAGGUGGGGAUGACGUCAAGUCCUCAUGGCCCUUACGUGUUGGGCUACACACGUGCUACAAUGGUAUCUACAACAGGAAGCAAGACUGCGAAGUUAAGCAAAUCCCUAAAAGAUACCUCAGUUCGGAUUGCACUCUGCAACUCGAGUGCAUGAAGCUGGAAUUACUAGUAAUCGUGGAUCAGCGUGCCACGGUGAAUGCGUUCCCGGGUCUUGUACACACCGC
rnacentral:rRNA from 1 species